rnacentral:lncRNA from 1 species
UUUUUUUAUGAUUAAGUAAAUUCAAAUGAUUAGGUCUAAAAGAAAAAGUAAUUAACUAAAAAUAAUAAAAGAGAAAUUAGAAGCAUACCUGAGUUUUCCAGCAAUCACCAACUAAAUCUAGAAACCAAAAGAAAAAGAAAGAGAGUUAUAAAGCACGAAGAACAAAUAUUUGAAAAUAAUUUAAAACGCCAAAUCCCCGGCAACGGCACCAAAAACUUGAUGUGCAAAUCUUAAAAUUUGUAAAUAAAAUCGCAAGCGCACAGUAUGCAGAGUAGCACGACCAGCGAGUACGGAUCGAUCCCACAGAGACUUGGUUUAAAAAUAAUUUUCAAAUCUAUGCUCAAG